rnacentral:rRNA from 1 species
AACGAACGCUGGCGGCAUGCCUAACACAUGCAAGUCGAACGAGACCUUCGGGUCUAGUGGCGCACGGGUGCGUAACGCGUGGGAACCUGCCCUUAGGUUCGGAAUAACUCCCCGACAGGGGUGCUAAUACCGGAUAAUGUCUUCGGACCAAAGAUUUAUCGCCUUUGGAUGGGCCCGCGUUGGAUUAGCUAGUUGGUAGGGUAAAAGCCUACCAAGGCGACGAUCCAUAGCUGGUCUGAGAGGAUGAUCAGCCACACUGGGACUGGGACACGGCCCAGACUCCUACGGGAGGCAGCAGUGGGUAAUAUUGGACAACGGGCGAAGGCCUGAACCAGCAAUGCCGCGUGAGUGAUGAAGGCCUUAGAGUAGUAAAGCUCUUUUACCCGGGAUGAUAAUGACAGUACCGGGAGAAUAAGCACCGGCUAACUCCGUG